rnacentral:rRNA from 1 species
GACGAACGCUGGCGGCGUGCUUAACACAUGCAAGUCGAACGGUUAAGCGCCUCCCUUUUUGGUGGGUGUGGGUGAGCGGCGAACUGGUGAGUAACACGUUAGUAACCUGCCCCCUUCUUCUGGAUAACCGCAUGAAAGUGUCGCCAAUACGGGAUAUUCUGGGUCUGUCGCAUGAUGGGUCUGGGAAAGAUCUUGUUUCGGUGGGGGAUGGGCUCGCGGCCUAUCGGCUUGUUGGUGGGGUGAUGGCCUACCGAGGCGGUGACGGGUAGCCGGCCUGGGAGGGUGGGCGACCACAGAGGGACGAAGACGCCGCGCAGACUCCUACAGGAAGCAGCGGGGAAGAUUAGUGCACGGUGGGAGGAAGCCUGAAGCAGCGACGCGGCGUGAGAGAUGGAGGCCUGCGGGUUGAGAACCUCUUUCGCGAGGGAAGCAGAGCUGCCUCGUUUGUGGGUGGGUUGACGGUAGCUGGAUAAGAAGCGCCGGCUAACUACGUG